UAAAACNCCAAGUGCCAGCAACUCAUUAC
rnacentral:piRNA from 1 species